GUAAGGAAUAUUGGUCAAUGGAGGCAACUCUGAACCAGCCAUGCCGCGUGCAGGAAGACAGCCCUCUGGGUCGUAAACUGCUUUUAUUCGGGAAUAAACCUUUCUACGUGUAGGAAGCUGAAUGUACCGAAGGAAUAAGGAUCGGCUAACUCCGUGCCAGCAGCCGCGGUAAUACGGAGGAUCCAAGCGUUAUCCGGAUUUAUUGGGUUUAAAGGGUGCGUAGGCGGCUUAUUAAGUCAGGGGUGAAAGACGGUGGCUCAACCAUCGCAGUGCCUUUGAUACUGAUGAGCUUGAAUGAACUAGAGGUAGGCGGAAUGUGACAAGUAGCGGUGAAAUGCAUAGAUAUGUCACAGAACACCGAUUGCGAAGGCAGCUUACUAUGGUUUUAUUGACGCUGAGGCACGAAAGCGUGGGGAUCAAACAGG
rnacentral:rRNA from 1 species